UGGGGAAUAUUGGACAAUGGGCGCAAGCCUGAUCCAGCCAUGCCGCGUGUGUGAAGAAGGCCUUUUGGUUGUAAAGCACUUUAAGCGAGGAGGAGGCUACUUGGAUUAAUACUCUAGGAUAGUGGACGUUACUCGCAGAAUAAGCACCGGCUAACUCUGUGCCAGCAGCCGCGGUAAUACAGAGGGUGCGAGCGUUAAUCGGAUUUACUGGGCGUAAAGCGUGCGUAGGCGGCUUUUUAAGUCGGAUUUGAAAUCCCUGAGCUUAACUUAGGAAUUGCAUUCGAUACUGGGAAGCUAGAGUAUGGGAGAGGAUGGUAGAAUUCCAGGUGUAGCGGUGAAAUGCGUAGAGAUCUGGAGGAAUACCGAUGGCGAAGGCAGCCAUCUGGCCUAAUACUGACGCUGAGGUACGAAAGCAUGGGGAGCAAACAGG
rnacentral:rRNA from 1 species